AUGGCGGGGGGCGUGGUGAUAAGUUCCUCUGGGGGCAAGGUGUACCCUGGCCACAUGACGGCCUUCGUCUUCUUCUCCUGUCUCGUCGCCUCCUCUGGCGGCCUAAUCUUCGGCUACGACAUCGGCAUCUCUGGUGGUGUAACAUCCAUGGACUCGUUCUUGAGCGAGUUCUUUCCGUCGGUGUACGCCCAGGCCAAGGCAAACAAGGAAAAGAACCAGUACUGCAAGUUCGACAGCCAGCUGUUGACGUUGUUCACGUCCUCACUGUACCUGGCCGCGCUAGCAACAUCGUUCCUAGCGGCGUCAGUGACGCGCAUCUUCGGCCGGAAGUGGUCCAUGUUCUGUGGCGGCAUCACCUUCCUCGCGGGCUCAGCACUCAAUGGCGCCGCCACUAACUUGAUGAUGCUGAUCCUCGGCCGCAUCCUCCUCGGCAUCGGCGUAGGCUUCGCCAACCAGUCCGUCCCUCUCUACCUGUCGGAGAUGGCACCGGCGAACCUCCGGGGCAUGCUCAACAUCGGCUUCCAGCUGAUGACCACCAUCGGCAUCCUGUCCGCCAACCUCAUCAACUACGCCACUGUUAGCAUCGAGGGUGGCUGGGGCUGGCGCAUCGGCCUUGGCCUGGCUGGCGUCCCGGCGCUCAUCAUUACCCUCGGCGCACUUGCCCUGCCGGACACUCCCAACUCCCUCAUCGCCCGCGGCUACACUGCGGAAGCCAAGAAGGUGCUGGUCAAGGUCAGGGGAACCUCAGACGUGCACGAUGAGUACGACGACAUGGUGGCCGCCAGCGAGGAGGCUAAGGCCAUCGAGCACCCUUGGCGGAACAUCCUGGAGCACAAGUACCGUCCCCAGUUGACAAUUGCUGUGCUCAUCCCCUUCUUCCAGCAGCUCACCGGCAUCAAUGUCAUCAUGUUCUACGCGCCCGUGCUGUUCCUCACAAUCGGCUUUGGCGGCGACGCCUCGCUCAUGUCCGCCGUCAUCACGGGGCUCGUCAACAUGUUCGCCACCAUCAUCUCCAUCGUCUCCGUGGAUCGGCUCGGCCGCCGUGCCCUGUUCCUCCAAGGCGGCACACAGAUGUUCGUGUCCCAGAUAGUGGUGGGGACUCUGAUCGCUCUCCAGUUUGGCACCACGGGCGAGGGGGAGAUGUCACGCACCUAUGCCAUGCUGCUGGUGCUAUUCAUUUGCCUCUACGUUGCCGGGUUCGCAUGGUCGUGGGGGCCGCUGGGCUGGCUCGUUCCCAGCGAGGUGUUCGCACUGGAGAUCAGGUCGGCAGGGCAGAGCAUUGCCGUGUGCGUCAACAUGACGCUCACCUUCAUCAUUGGGCAGGCGUUCCUCACCAUGCUCUGUCACCUCAAGUUCGGCCUCUUCUACUUCUUUGCGGCGUGGAUGGUCAUCAUGACGACCUUCAUCGCCCUCUUCCUGCCAGAGACCAAGGGGGUUCCCAUCGACGAGAUGAACCUCGUCUGGAGCCGACACUGGUUCUGGAGCAAGUACGUCAUCCAGGAAGGCGGCAGCAACCGCAGAACACACGGCGUCUAG
rnacentral:rRNA from 1 species